rnacentral:rRNA from 1 species
UACGUAGGGCGCAAGCGUUGUCCGGAAUUAUUGGGCGUAAAGAGCUCGUAGGCGGCUUGUCACGUCGGAUGUGAAAGCCCGGGGCUUAACCCCGGGUCUGCAUUCGAUACGGGCAGACUGGAGUGUGGUAGGGGAGAUCGGAAUUCCUGGUGUAGCGGUGAAAUGCGCAGAUAUCAGGAGGAACACCGGUGGCGAAGGCGGAUCUCUGGGCCAUUACUGACGCUGAGGAGCGAAAGCGUGGGGAGCGAACAGG